GCUGCACCUUGGUCCAAUCAUUACGACACCCGUUACAGAACUACCCACCACCAAAGGACCAAGCAGCAGGGGAAGGAGCAGCAGAGGAACUAUGUGGACUGCAAGGAAUCAUGGACAUGGGAGGAAAUUCUGGACCGGGCUGGACCAUGGCACCAGGCUGGUGAAUACCGUCGCCCACCGGAUGAGAUAGAGGCACCAAGGCGGAGCGGCGCCGGUAUGAGGCUUUAUACGCGCCGAUUGGGAAGCACGAGAGGCACCCCCAAGAAAUGUUUUUGGGGGGGCACACGGGUAGUUUGGCUGGGCCAAGGGUGAGCCCUAAGCCAACUCCCCGUGCUUAUUAUGGGGAGCAUAUGGAGUGGAGAGCGCCGGAGUAUGCGAAAGUGCGCACGAUCUCGCCCAUGCGCACGCACAGUCCGGUGCGAGCGAUCCCAGCCCCUCGCAAGUGCCAUGCUAGAGUGGGCAUCCAGCCUGGAAGGAGGAUGCCUGUGCAGCGCAUCUGGCCACUGGUGCGCCUCCUAGGCCAAGGCUACCCUACGCCUGCUCUACGCACGGCAACCAUCAGGCCUCUGCACAGCCCAGUUCGCCCUGUGCCAGCACUCCACUCGUGCAGGGCUGCAAUUACCAUCCAGCCAGGACGGGUUGUGCAGGAGGUACGCUCCAGACCUCCAGUGCUUACCCAUGGCCCGGUGUAUCCAGUUCCUGCUCCUCGCACUAGCCUUGGGGUGCGUGUCUCCAGUCUGGUACCUCCACUACCAGCCCCACGCACCAGGCCUCCAGUGCGUCAGCCCAGUCCAGCUCGUCCUGUUCGCGCUCCUCGCACUAGCCUUGGGGUGCGUGUCUCCAGUCUGGUACCUCCACUACCAGCCCCACGCACCAGGCCUCCAGUGUGUCAGCCCAGUCCUGCUCCUCGCACUAGCCCUGUGGUACGUGUCCUUAGUCUGGCGCGUCCUAAGCCAGCCCCACGCAUCAGGCCUUCAGUGCGCAGUCCCCAUCCAGAGCUUCCGACGACAGUGCCUCAUCCAGAGCUUCCGGCAACAGUCCCUCGUCCAGAGCUUCCGGCGACAGUGCCUCGUCCAGAGCUUCCGGCGACAGUGCCUCGUCCAGAGCUUCCGGCGACAGUGCCUCGUCCAGAGCUUCCGGCGACAGUGCCCCGUAGAGAGACGGCCCACAGUCCGGAGCCAGCAGAGACGGCCCACAGUCCGGAGCCAGCAGAGAUGGCCUACAGUCCGGAAUCGGCGCAGCGAGAGUCACCCUACAGUCCGGAAUCGGAGCAGCCAGAGUCGGCCUUCAGCCCGAGGUUUCCAGCGACGCGCAUCAGCCUGAGGUCUCCAGCAACGCACAUCAGCCCGAGGUCUUCAGCGAUGCGCCAUAGCCCAGAGACUUCGGGAGGGUUAAUAUUUAAUGGGUAUUUAGCGGC
rnacentral:lncRNA from 8 species